GAUGAAGAACGUAGCGAAAUGCGAUAAGUAAUGCGAAUUGCAGAAUUCCGUGAAUCAUCGAAUCUUUGAACGCACAUUGCGCCCCCUGGUAUUCCGGGGGGCAUGCCUGUUCGAGCGUCAUUUCACCACUCAAGCCUCGCUUGGUAUUGGGCAACGCGGUCCGCCGCGUGCCUCAAAUCGACCGGCUGGGUCUUCUGUCCCCUAAGCGUUGUGGAAACUAUUCGCUAAAGGGUGUUCGGGAGGCUACGCCGUAAAACAACCCCAUUUCUAAGGUUGACCUCGGAUCAGGUAGGGAUACCCGCUGAACUUAAGCAUAUCAAUAAGCGGAGGA
rnacentral:misc_RNA from 1 species